rnacentral:rRNA from 1 species
CCUACGGGAGGCAGCAGUGAGGAAUAUUGGUCAAUGGGCGGAAGCCUGAACCAGCCAAGUCGCGUGAGGGAAUAAGGCCCUACGGGUCGUAAACCUCUUUUGCCGGGGAGCAAGGGCGGGGACGUGUCCCGGCCCGGAGAGUACCCGGAGAAAAAGCAUCGGUUAACUCCGUACCAGAAGACGCGGUAAUAAGGAGGAUGCGAGCGUUAUUCGGAUUUAAGGGGGUGAAAGGGUGCGUAGGCGGGCAUUUAGCUCAGCGGUAAAAAUUCGGGGCUCAACCACCGCCGGCCGUUGAAACUGGGGGCCUUGAGGGGGCGAGAGGAAGGCGGAAUGCGUGGUGUAGCGGUGAAAUGCAUAGAUAUCACGCAGAACCCCGAUUGCGAAGGCAGCCUUCCGGCGCCCUACUGACGCUGAGGCACGAAAGUGCGGGGAUCGAACAGGAUUAGAUACCCCUGUAGUC